UACAGAGGUCUCAAGCGUUGUUCGGAUUCAUUGGGCGUAAAGGGUGCGUAGGCGGCGCGGUAAGUCGGGUGUGAAAUCUCGGAGCUUAACUCCGAAACUGCAUUCGAUACUGCCCUGCUUGAGGACUGGAGAGGAGACUGGAAUUUACGGUGUAGCGGUGAAAUGCGUAGAUAUCGUAAGGAAGACCAGUGGCGAAGGCGGGUCUCUGGACAGUUCCUGACGCUGAGGCACGAAGGUCAGGGGAGCAAACGGG
rnacentral:rRNA from 1 species